rnacentral:misc_RNA from 1 species
CGAAAUGCGAUAAGUAAUGUGAAUUGCAGAAUUCAGUGAAUCAUCGAAUCUUUGAACGCACAUUGCACUCAUUAGUAUUCUAGUGAGUAUGCCUGUUCGAGCGUCAUUUCAACCCUUAAGCCUAGCUUAGUGUUGGGACUCUACCCUAACCGGUAGUUCCCCAAAAUCAGUUGGCGGAGUUCAGUCGACUCUGAGUGUAGUAAUUUUCUCUCGCUUUAGAAGUCUUCUGGAUUACGGCCAGAAAGAGACGAGUCUCGCACUUCGGUACGUUUCUCAACUUUUUUUUCUAAUGGUUGACCUCGGAUCAGGUAGGAAUACCCGCUGAACUUAAGC